UAGAAAGAAACUCGUUGGUUGGAGUAUUUAGCUGUUAACUAAAAAGUUGUAGGAUCAAGGCCUGCCUUUCUAG
rnacentral:tRNA from 1 species